rnacentral:rRNA from 1 species
AGAGCGAACGCUGGCGGCGUGCUUAACACAUGCAAGUCGAACGAGGUCUGUAGCAAUACAGAUACUCGUGGCGAACGGGUGCGUAACACGUGGAUAACCUUCCUUCAGGUGGGGAAUAACCCAGUGAAAAUUGGGCUAAUACCGCAUAACAUGACGAUGCCACAUGGUGUUGUCUUCAAAGGCGCAAGUCGCCAGAAGAGGGAUCCGCGGCCGAUUAGCUAGUUGGCGAGGUAAUGGCUCACCAAGGCAAUGAUCGGUAGCCGGACUGAGAGGUUGGCCGGCCACACUGGAACUGAGACACGGUCCAGACUCCUACGGGAGGCAGCAGUGGGGAAUCUUGCACAAUGGACGAAAGUCUGAUGCAGCAACGCCGCGUGGGGAUGAAGCUUUUCGGAGUGUAAACCCCUUUCGACCCGGAAGAAAGCCCGCAAGGGUUUGACGGUACGGGUAUAAGAAGCCCGGCUAACUACGUGCCAGCAGCCGC